GCAAUGCAGGGACAUCCUUCAUGUCACAUACUCAAGCCAGAAGAAUCCUUGACUGUCUCCGACCUCCACCAGCAUGUGUUCGCUUGCAAAUGCAUUCCGCGAGUGUCUUCUCUCCGUCUCCAUUGUCACGUCUCCAAUACAAGCCGUGAUCUUCUGUUACCUCAUGUACACAACUGCUUCCUGAUCUGCCCCUGCUUUUGCUUGUAGCAGAAAAAUGCCUCAGUCUUCUACCAGUUGGAGUGUGCAACUGCUUCUUGGCUUGUCUCUGGUUUUUCCAUGUAGCAGAAAAGGUCCCUCUCUAUUUUUCCCUUCUUUGGUUUUUAUCACUUUCCAAGCAGAGAGACAGACUUCAUAACCCCACGUUUGGGGUUGACAGAAAGCAGCCAUUCCGACGUCUGCGUUUGCAGAAGUCUGACUCAGAGGUAACUUCCUGCUGAGUGCCCUGCCGGGUGGAGAGCGAGCCUGGACACGGAAGCAGAGCCGGAGCUGAAAUUCCCUCAGCCUGGGGAGGGGCAGAGUUCUGUGGCUCCUGGAGAAUGAGAACACCCAAGCCUCCAGCUUCUUAUUCACUGAAAAAAAAAGCAAAACGUCUUUCGCCCAUCCAGGAGACUUGUCCUCGACAUUGGUCCUUGUGCAGAGCAGGGCCGAGAAUGGAUCCAGGAGGAGAGACAAAGAAAUAUUCCAGGCAGCUGCACACAGAUUUCUGUCUGCUCUCUCCUCGCCACUGUAGACCAGCCACGUUACUACCUCCUUCCUACAGUGGCUCACAUUACUGGCAGUGGCAAGAUGAUCUUUUCAGCAUUUCAGGACUCUUAGCUUUUCCUUUCUAAUCCCUGGAAUGAAUUCCCAGCUUCAGGAGGACUCCUGGGCAGAUGGUCUCACUGUGGCUCGUCCAGCCUCGGGGCCUUUGCUUUUGGCCUUGCUCUGCACAGUCGCAGGACCAGGAGAGGAGCGAGAAGAACCCUGGGGGAUCUGCGCUCAGCCCUUGUUGCUUGGACCGGCAAGAGGCAUUUCUAGGACAUUCUUAUGGUUGUUUGUCCAGCCAAUCAACGUGCCCUGGCCUUGAAGGCCCAGCACCCUCUCUGCCAAGAAGCCACUGAGGGCUGCCCAGUCUGCGCUUGGACAUGGAGCUGUGGUUCUCCUCUUUCAUCACUGAUUGCCUUGUUUUUAGCUGCUUCCUGGCUGGGAGUCCUUUCCCCUGACCAGAAAACAAGGUCCUUUUUCUUAGCUUUCCCUUCAGCAGAGUACUGGGAAUGUGAAAGCAAUAAUUUUGUUUUUAAAUUACAUCCUUUGAUUAUAGUUCAAUGACUUAAUCAUAGUUAUUAAAUAACUAACGAUCUGCCUAGCCUGAUACUUGUGGCAUAAUAACGAAAACCCCACACAGGCUUUGGGAUCAGAUAGCCUGGGCUUAUUUAUACAUUUUUGUAAAAUAAAUCUUUGUUGAAUUUACUCUAGUGAAAGAAAUUCUUACUGUGUGUCCCACACAGCUUGGGGUCAAUGGUCUGUCCAGGUGGAGCAAGGGCCUUUCCGAAGGACGCUUAAACUACUUCUGGGCUGCUGCCCACUUCCCUUGUCACACAGUAGCGUCCAGGCCACACUGACUCCUUUAUAAAGAUUACUUUUAAAUCAAAACCUGAGCCUCUGAACAUCUUUCUCCAGCUCCACUGUGC
ensembl:lincRNA